GGGCCGCACGCGCGCUACACUGACGGAGCCAGCAAGUACUAUCCUUGGCCGAAAGGUCCGGGUAAUCUCGUGAAACUCCGUCGUGCUGGGGAUAGAGCAUUGAAAUUUUUGCUCUUCAACGAGGAAUUCCUAGUAAGCGCAAGUCACUAGCUUGCGUUGAUUACGUCCC
rnacentral:rRNA from 1 species